rnacentral:rRNA from 1 species
ACAAGCAGAACGACCCAGAGAC